rnacentral:rRNA from 1 species
UGUGUAGGCGGUUCUUUAAGUUUGGUGUGAAAUCUCCCGGCUCAACUGGGAGGGUGCGCCGAAUACUGAGGGACUAGAGUACGGGAGAGGAAAGUGGAAUUCCUGGUGUAGCGGUGAAAUGCGUAGAUAUCAGGAGGAACACCGGUGGUGUAGACGGCUUUCUGGACCGUAACUGACGCUGAGACACGAAAGCGUGGGUAGCAAAACA